UACGUAGGGUGCGAGCGUUAAUCGGAAUUACUGGGCGUAAAGUGUGCGCAGGCGGCAGAGCAAGUCGAGUGUGAAAGCCCCGGGCUUAACUUGGGAAUUGCGCUCGAAACUACUUUGCUGGAGUGUGGCAGAGGAAGGUGGAAUCCACGUGUAGCGGUGAAAUGCGGUAGAGAAUGUGGAGGAACAGCCAAUGGCGGAAGGCAGCCCAUUGCUAGGG
rnacentral:rRNA from 1 species